rnacentral:rRNA from 1 species
AACGAACGCUGGCGGCAUGCCUAACACAUGCAAGUCGAACGAGACCUUCGGGUCUAGUGGCGCACGGGUGCGUAACGCGUGGGAACCUGCCCUUAGGUUCGGAAUAACUCCCCGAAAGGGGUGCUAAUACCGGAUAAUGUCUUCGGACCAAAGGUUUAUCGCCUUUGGAUGGGCCCGCGUUGGAUUAGCUAGUUGGUAGGGUAAAAGCCUACCAAGGCGACGAUCCAUAGCUGGUCUGAGAGGAUGAUCAGCCACACUGGGAGUGAGACACGGCCCAGACUCCUACGGGAGGCAGCAGUGGGGAAUAUUGGACAAUGGGCGAAAGCCUGAUCGAGCAAUGCCGCGUGAGUGAUGAAGGCCUUAGGGUUGUAAAGCUCUUUUACCCGGGAUGAUAAUGACAGUACCGGGAGAAUAAGCACCGGCUAACUCCGUG